rnacentral:rRNA from 1 species
GAUUUCUGGUUUAAUGCACCUGGCCCGCGGCCACUAGGCUUGUGAGUGCCGGCGCGCGUUUACCAUCCUUCUAGAAAACGAUUCUGCCAUUAACUUGGUUGGGAUCGCGAUCUAGAUCUUUUACUUUGAAAAAAUUAGAGUGUUUAAAGCAAGCUUUUGCUGUGAAUACAUUAGCAUGGAAUAAUAAUUUAGGACUUCGGUUCUAUUUUGUUGGUUUCUAGAACUGAAGUAAUGAUUGAUAGGGACAGUUGGGGGUGCUGCUAUUCAUCGGCCAGAGGUGAAAUUCUUGGAUUCUGUGAAGAGCAACUCAUGCGAAAGCAUU